rnacentral:tmRNA from 1 species
GGGGAUGAUCGGCUUCGACGGUUGAUUGUGCUGUGUGCGUGCAGUGUGAGAGCUUCUCGGGAACUCUCUAAAAAUCUCGAGAACCUUCACGUGCUAAGAAUAGCGUGAAAAGCCCAUACGCAUCGCGUUUGGACUUCGCAUUCGCUUGAGCUAACGCUCGCGAACGCGACAUCGCCCUCUCGGACAUCCGAUAUGGGGGCGGCGGUGUAAUAACCAUCGGGUUCUGGAGUAAUAAGCCGUUUCCUUAAUACUCUGAAUUUCUUGAAACUCGGCGGUUUGCGGCUUCGUUCGCCUUAUACGCGAAUCGCUUAAAUCCUAAGACGAACUAGACACUGUAGAAUCGCAUACACUCAUCUUCUCGGACGCGGGUUCGAUUCCCGCCAUCUCCACAG